UAGUUAAUCUUAGAAGAAAUUCAUCUCAGAUAUAUAUCUUACAGCAAUGCAAGUAGUAAAUUAAACGACAGCCUUUCAAAAGGUACUUUGCAGGUAUAAAUCUUUUGUGAUUUAAUAAAGAGAUACUUGUUUAAUUAACUGCAAAAUAACUUUUCCUUGUCUUA